UUUUUUUUUUUUUUUUUAAUGCAAAGACUCUCUACUUUCUCUCUGGCUUUCUUAACCUUCGUCUUUUUACAUUGUCCGUUACCGCAAAUCUCAUCCCUAACCUGAUGCUACAGUGACUUCCUUUUCCAACAAAAUCUAAUGAAAAUUACCUUCCUUCAUCCAACCAAAAGAAAGCUUUGAACUUUCACAUAUCGUCAUCUAUAGUAAUAGUCGAUUUCAACAAAGAAACAGAAGAGGAAAGAGGAGGAAUGUAGUGGUGGUUUUGCUUGCCUGCUUGUUUUUGAGGAAUUGUUCAUCCAAAAUGAGCAACAAAUUCAGGUCAAGGAGAUUGGGUUCUUAACAAGUGAAUUUUAGGGUUUAAAUUAUCUAUUGUUGUUGAUUCUUUCAAAAUUGUUGCUUGUUGAAUUUUUAUUCUAUUAGCUCUAAUAUUUUGGAACUCUAUACAAGGGGUUUUUCCUAACUGAUACAAAGUGUUCGUUAUGGUAGAUGCAGAAAUUAGGAAUUUUCUUUUUCCUACAUACUAUUUUCCUUUUCUAGUCAUCAAUUUCAUUGCAAAGGUUUGGGGAAAAACAAGUAGGAUGGUUCCUACUACAUGAAAUUCAAUGGAAGUGUGGAUGAUAAUCUCUUUCUGCUUUUAUACAUGCAUUGUGAAUGGGGAGAGUGGGG
rnacentral:misc_RNA from 1 species